GCAACGCCCUCAUCUUGCCGCCCCAUCAGCACGUGGAAAUAGUUUUGAGAGCGCUGGAUUUUGAAGCCGUGUUGUUGCUGUCGACUUCAAGAAACCAUUCGUAGAAUUGCCCAGAUGGAUUUGGAUGAGGAUGUGUGGGUUGGAAGACUCAUCACGACGACCCUUGAUAACAUCGCGAGGGAGUUGAAGGCCAAGAAGGCAGCAGGCGGAAGUCUCCAGACACAGAUGUAUCAACAUCCAAGAAGAUAGGGCGUUUCUCGAGAUUCCGAGCACUGCUCUCCAGGCUGUGCUGUUGCUGAUAGAUCUGUGAAGGCAUGGUCUUUCUCAAGUUCAAUGUCAUUUUUGUCACCCUCAGGAUGAUAUAUAAAGUCUUUACAUGGUUUUUAUUAUUAAUAACUGGGUGGCUCAGUCGUUUAAGGUACCGCAAUUCGCUGAGCAAAGUUGCGUCCCUUGGGCGCACCGGAAAGCUAUAAUUGUGGGUUCGAAUCCCGAUUAUGUUUCUAGGUUUGUUAGCACCAUACCCAUGCUCUUGGGUUUCACCAAAGAGGAGACUUGUAUUACUUCGGGCGUUCCUCCCACACAAAGCUGACACGUCGUGAUAUACGUGGAAAACUGUUCAAAGCCCCGUUAAACCAAACUCACUCCGUUUCUACGAUGAUCUGUUUCGUUUGUCAGAUUUUACAGAUAUAAGGGCACAUGGUGCCCAGUUUCUUUUAAUAGUUCUCAGAUUUUUGUUUUUGUACAUGAAGAAAAUAUGAUAGAGAAAAAAGGGUGAAUGAUAUCAGGGAUCAAUGUAUGAAAUGUGAGCACCUGUUGUGUUAUGUACACUCAGUGCGUUGUGCUUUUAUUUGAACGAAUAACUGAUAUCUUUAAAGGUUUCAAUACACAUGUCUUCUUAUAUAAAUAUACCAAAAUCUAUUACACUAUAAACAUUUGUUGUUUGUUGGAUUUUAAAAAUACAAUAAAAAUGGUAUAUAGUUUAGUCGGGGAACCCUUUAGAAGUAUUUUAUAUGAAGGAUAUAGUACGUCCGUUUUAAUGUUUUAUUUGGUGAUACUUAAUUCCCAACUGAAUCCAAUAGCUUUAUUCAGAAGUUGAGGGUUUUAAAUCUCAUAAAACCUGCUUAUCUUGUGUGCAUGUAGUAUUGUAACCUGCUUGUUUAGAUGUGGUAUUGUCAUAUAACCUGCUUGUUUAGUAGUACUAUGCUGUCAUUAACGUUUGUGAUUUAUACUCCCAUAUGCAAUCAGCCAUGAAGCAGUUUAGGCUGCAAUAAACCUAGAGAGAGAGUCUCCUAGGACCAACAAGGGGCAUUUGAAGCAAGUUCUGCCUCGGGAUUCAGUCUGUAGGACACAA